rnacentral:rRNA from 1 species
GAUGAACGCUGGCGGCGUGCCUAAUACAUGCAAGUCGAGCGAACGGACGAGAAGCUUGCUUUUCUGAUGUUAGCGGCGGACGGGUGAGUAACACGUGGAUAACCUACCUAUAAGACUGGGAUAACUUCGGUAAACCGGAGCUAAUACCGGAUAAUAUUUUGAACCGCAUGGUUCAAAAGUGAAAGACGGUCUUGCUGUCACUUAUAGAUGGAUCCGCGCUGCAUUAGCUAGUUGGUAAGGUAACGGCUUACCAAGGCAACGAUGCAUAGCCGACCUGAGAGGGUGAUCGGCCACACUGGAACUGAGACACGGUCCAGACUCCUACGGGAGGCAGCAGUAGGGAAUCUUCCGCAAUGGGCGAAAGCAUGACGGAGCAGCGCCGCGUGAGUGACGAAGGUCUUCGGAUCGUAAAACUCUGUUAUUAGGGAAGAACAUAUGUGUAAGUAACUGUGCACAUAUUGACGGUACCUAAUCAGAAAGCCACGGCUAACUACGUG